rnacentral:rRNA from 1 species
AGCGAACGCUGGCGGCAGGCUUAACACAUGCAAGUCGAGCGCUCGUAGCAAUACGGGAGCGGCAGACGGGUGAGUAACACGUGGGAACGUACCUUUUGGUUCGGAACAACACAGGGAAACUUGUGCUAAUACCGGAUAAGCCCUUACGGGGAAAGAUUUAUCGCCAAAAGAUCGGCCCGCGUCUGAUUAGCUUGUUGGUGAGGUAACGGCUCACCAAGGCGACGAUCAGUAGCUGGUCNGAGAGGAUGAUCAGCCACAUUGGGACUGAGACACGGCCCAAACUCCUACGGGAGGCAGCAGUGGGGAAUAUUGGACAAUGGGCGCAAGCCUGACUCCA